AUUGAACGCUGGCGGAAUGCUUUACACAUGCAAGUCGAGCGGCAGCGCGGGGCAACCUGGCGGCGAGCGGCGAACGGGUGAGUAAUGCAUCGGAACAUGUCCAUUCGUGGGGGAUAGCCCGGCGAAAGCCGGAUUAAUACCGCAUACGCCCGAGAGGGGAAAGUGGGGGACCGCAAGGCCUCACGCGAUUGGGUUGGCCGAUGUCCGAUUAGCUAGUUGGCGGGGUAAGAGCCCACCAAGGCGAUGAUCGGUAGCUGGUCUGAGAGGAUGAUCAGCCACACUGGGACUGAGACACGGCCCAGACUCCUACGGGAGGCAGCAGUGGGGAAUUUUGGACAAUGGGGAAACCCUGAUCCAGCCAUUCCGCGUGAGUGAAGAAGGCCUCGGUUGUAAGU
rnacentral:rRNA from 1 species